rnacentral:rRNA from 1 species
AGUGAUCGCUGGCGGUAGGCCUAACACAUGCAAGUCGAACGGCAGCACAGUAAGAGCUUGCUCUUACGGGUGGCGAGUGGCGGACGGGUGAGGAAUACAUCGGAAUCUACUUUUUCGUGGGGGAUAACGUAGGGAAACUUACGCUAAUACCGCAUACGACCUACGGGUGAAGGCAGGGGAUCUUCGGACCUUGCGCGAUUGAAUGAGCCGAUGUCGGAUUAGCUAGUUGGCGGGGUAAAGGCCCACCAAGGCGACGAUCCGUAGCUGGUCUGAGAGGAUGAUCAGCCACACUGGAACUGAGACACGGUCCAGACUCCUACGGGAGGCAGCAGUGGGGAAUAUUGGACAAUGGGCGCAAGCCUGAUCCAGCCAUACCGCGUGGGUGAAGAAGGCCUUCGGGUUGUAAAGCCCUUUUGUUGGGAAAGAAAAGCAGCAGGUUAAUACCCCGCUGUUCUGACGGUACCCAAAGAAUAAGCACCGGCUAACUUCGUG